rnacentral:rRNA from 1 species
GAGGUAUCAGAAGUGCGAAUGCUGACAUAAGUAACGAUAAAGCGGGUGAAAAGCCCGCUCGCCGGAAGACCAAGGGUUCCUGUCCAACGUUAAUCGGGGCAGGGUGAGUCGACCCCUAAGGCGAGGCCGAAAGGCGUAGUCGAUGGGAAACGGGUUAAUAUUCCCGUACUUGGUGUUACUGCGAAGGGGGGACGGAGAAGGCUAUGUUGGCCGGGCGACGGUUGUCCCGGUUUAAGCGUGUAGGUGUGUGUUCCAGGUAAAUCCGGUUCACUUUAACACUGAGGCGUGACGACGAGGCACUACGGUGCUGAAGCAACAAAUGCCCUGCUUCCAGGAAAAGCCUCUAAGCAUCAGGUAACAUCAAAUCGUACCCCAAACCGACACAGGUGGUCAGGUAGAGAAUACCAAGGCGCUUGAGAGAACUCGGGUGAAGGAACUAGGCAAAAUGGUGCCGUAACUUCGGGAGAAGGCACGCUGACACGUAGGUGAAGUGAUUUACUCAUGGAGCUGAAGUCAGUCGAAGAUACCAGCUGGCUGCAACUGUUUAUUAAAAACACAGCACUGUGCAAACACGAAAGUGGACGUAUACGGUGUGACGCCUGCCCGGUGCCGGAAGGUUAAUUGAUGGGGUCAGCGCAAGCGAAGCUCCUGAUCGAAGCCCCGGUAAACGGCGGCCGUAACUAUAACGGUCCUAAGGUAGCGAAAUUCCUUGUCGGGUAAGUUCCGACCUGCACGAAUGGCGUAAUGAUGGCCAGGCUGUCUCCACCCGAGACUCAGUGAAAUUGAACUCGCUGUGAAGAUGCAGUGUACCCGCGGCAAGACGGAAAGACCCCGUGAACCUUUACUAUAGCUUGACACUGAACAUUGAGCCUUGAUGUGUAGGAUAGGUGGGAGGCUUUGAAGUGUGGACGCCAGUCUGCAUGGAGCCGACCUUGAAAUACCACCCUUUAAUGUUU